AUAGAGGUUAUCAUAGAGUGUCAUAGAGGAGGGUGUCAUAGAGGUGUCAUAGUGGAGGAUGUCAUAGAGCAGGGUUGUUAUAGAGGAAGGGUUUCAUAGAGAAGGAGUGUCAUAGAGGAUGGGUGUCAUAGAGGAGAGUAGGGUGUCAUAGAGGAGGAUGUCAUAG